CCUACGGGUGGCAGCAGUGGGGAAUAUUGCACAAUGGGGGAGACCCUGAUGCAGCGACGCCGCGUGAGCGAUGAAGUAUUUCGGGAUGUAAAGCUCUAUCAGCAGGGAAGAAAAUGACGGUACCUGACUAAGAAGCCCCGGCGAACUACGUGACAGCAGCCGCGGUAAUACGGAGGGGGCAAGCGUUAUCCGGAUUUACUGGGUGUAAAGGGAGCGUAGACGGCGGUGCAAGCCAGAUGUGAAAGACUGGGGCUCAACCCCGGGACUGCAUUUGGAACUGUGCUGCUAGAGUGUCGGAGAGGCAGGCGGAAUUCCUAGUGUAGCGGUGAAAUGCGUAGAUAUUAGGAGGAACACCGGUGGCGAAGGCAGCCUGCUGGACGAUGACUGACGUUGAGGCUCGAAAGUGUGGGGAGCAAACAGGAUUAGAUACCCCUGUAGUC
rnacentral:rRNA from 1 species